CCAAUAGCGUAUAUUAAAGUUGUUGCAGUUAAAAAGCUCGUAGUUGAAUUUCGGGAUCAGUAGGUCGGUCAUGCCUCUGGUAUGUACUGGUCUCACUGGUUCCUCCUUCCUGAUGAACCGUAAUGCCAUUAAUUUGGUGUUGCGGGGAAACUGGACUGUUACUUUGAAAAAAUUAGAGUGUUUAAAGCAAGCUAACGCUUGAAUACAUUAGCAUGGAAUAAUGAAAUAGGACGCUCGAUCCUAUUUUGUUGGUUUCUAGGAUUGACGUAAUGAUUAAUAGGGAUAGUUGGGGGCAUUAGUAUUCAAUUGUCAGAGGUGAAAUUCUUGGAUUUAUUGAAGACUAACUACUGCGAAAGCAUUUGCCAAGGAUGUUUUCAUUAAUCAAGAACGAAAGUUAGGGGAUCGAAGACGAUCAGAUACCGUCGUAGUCUUAACCAUAAACUAUGCCGACUAGGGAUCGGACGGAGUUAAUUUUAUAAUGACGCGUUCGGCACCUUACG
rnacentral:rRNA from 1 species